rnacentral:lncRNA from 1 species
UCUCCCUCUUCCGCCUCGCGCCGCCGCCGCCGUCUCGCGGCGCCACCUCUGCCUCCCUCUCGCGUCGUCAUCCUCUCCUCCUUCCCGACUCACCUUCUCCCUCUCCUUCUUCCGGCGCCGCCACCUCCGCCUCGUGCCGACCCCAUCUCCGAGCACGGCCGCCACAACCGCCGCGUGCCCGUCGCCGCCUCCGCCUCCGCCGCCGCCGCCUCCGCCGCCAGUGAGAAGAGAUCGGCGCAGGUGGUGCGGCGGUGGGCAACUCCAUGGAGUCGAGUACUGCCAUACCAGCAACGCAAGGCAUCAGCAGCCAUUAAGAUCUCUAUUCGUCUGCGCGGUGUCCUGCUCCUCCGGCCUGAAGAUGUGAGAAGCGGCCACGACCAAAGCUCUUGAGUGCAGAGAGUGACAAUAUAUGUCUAUCUAAGUUCUAGAACAGAGCAGCAAACUGCACACAAGAGUCGAAACAAUUGGAGGAUUUCAUGAUGGCAUUGCAUUUUUGAAGAAGGGCCAUGCUGAACAGGAGGCAUGAAUUCAAGACUGAUAAACGAAAAGGUUAUUGAUGGUCUUGACAGUAUGUGCUAAACAUGAAGAAUGGCAAAGUUGCUCUUGUAAUAGUUCCCGAAUAUGCAUUUGGUUUUGUCCACCAAACAACCCUGUGAUUCAUGAAGUUGAGCUUGCACCAUUUUGUGAAGGGUAAAUAAUAGUGGGACUUGAAUAAUGUCGGUAAGAUUGAGACUACUGUUGCAAAAAAAAAGGAAGAAGGAAAUACAUUGUUCAAGCUGGGAAAAUCUACCAGCUUUUCAUAAAAAAAAAAGGAUUUCUAAGCGAUAUGAGAAGCAUUCAUCAAGUAAUUGAUAGCACAUUUGGUGAAGAAAAGAAGAAGCAAUACAAGUGACUGAUGGUGCUGCAACUUGAACAAUGUUGCAUGCAAGUUGAAGUUAAAAAGAUUACAAGCAAGCUGAGAAG